UAGCUAAAUGCGGAAGAGAUAAGUGCUGAAAGCAUCUAAGCACGAAACUUGCCCCGAGAUGAGUUCUCCCUGAGACUAUAAGUCUCCUGAAGGAACGUUAAAGACGAUGACGUUGAUAGGCCGGGUGUGUAAGCGCAGCGAUGCGUUGAGCUAACCGGUACUAAUGAACCGUGAGGCUUAACCUUACAACGCCGAAG
rnacentral:rRNA from 3 species